GCCAGCGCAGCCGGCCCGCUCCUAGCGGACGCCAGGAACCGAGGCCAGAGGCGGCCCUCGCGGCCCGCCAUGGAGGCGCCGCCGCCAUUGUUCCCCGCGGCGCCCGCCCCGCUCGCCGCCCGCAGCCUCGCCCACGGCCGGUCGCGGCCGCAGCCCGCCCCGCUGCUCCCGUCGCUCGUCGCCGGCCCGGGCCGCCAGGGGGCGCGCCGAGCCCCGCGCCACGUCACGGCGCAGUCGCCGUCGCGAUUGGCGGGCGGCGCGGCUAUAAAGGGAGGGCGCAGGCGGCGGCCGGAUCUCUUGCGCCGCCAUCUUAAACCCGGCUCCCUACAACGCUCCGCUGCUGCGCCCGCCAGCCGCCCUGCACGCCAGCCGGCCGCCGCCGACCGCCCCGCCGCAGCCAUGGAAGACGUGAACGAGUACAGCAACACGGAGGAGUUCGCGGAGGGAUCGAAGAUCAACGCGAGCAAGAACCAGCAGGAUGACGGUAAAAUGUUUAUUGGAGGCUUGAGCUGGGAUACGAGCAAGAAAGAUCUGACAGAAUAUUUGUCUCGAUUUGGGGAAGUUGUAGACUGUACAAUUAAGACAGACCCGGUCACUGGAAGAUCAAGAGGAUUUGGAUUUGUGCUUUUCAAAGACGCUGCUAGUGUGGAUAAGGUUUUGGAACUAAAAGAACACAAACUGGAUGGUAAAUUGAUAGACCCAAAAAGGGCCAAAGCUCUAAAGGGGAAAGAACCUCCUAAGAAGGUCUUUGUAGGUGGAUUGAGCCCAGACACUUCGGAAGAGCAAAUUAAAGAAUAUUUUGGAGCCUUUGGAGAGAUUGAAAAUAUUGAACUUCCCAUGGAUACAAAAACAAAUGAAAGAAGAGGAUUCUGUUUUAUCACAUACACAGAUGAAGAACCAGUAAAGAAAUUGUUGGAAAGCAGAUACCAUCAAAUUGGUUCUGGGAAGUGUGAAAUCAAAGUGGCACAACCCAAAGAAGUCUAUAGGCAGCAGCAGCAGCAACAAAAAGGAGGAAGAGGUGCUGCAGCCGCUGGCCGAGGAGGUGUGCGGGGGCGUGGCCGAGGUCAGGGCCAAAACUGGAACCAAGGAUUUAAUAACUAUUAUGAUCAAGGAUAUGGAAAUUACAAUAGUGCCUAUGGUGGUGAUCAAAACUAUAGUGGCUAUGGCGGAUAUGAUUAUACUGGGUAUAACUAUGGGAACUAUGGAUAUGGACAGGGAUAUACAGACUACAGUGGCCAGCAGAGCACUUACGGCAAGGCAUCUCGAGGGGGUGGCAAUCACCAAAACAAUUACCAGCCGUACUAAAGGAGGACUGUAGAGGAAACAGCGGGAACUUCAUUGCAGGCCGUGUGUCACCCUGACCACGUCUAUCUCUGGGGGUCGCACGUUGCGGGCAGAGCGCAAGGCAUACACCAGAAAACGCUGUCCUGUGGAGAUGAUAAAGAAACCAUCUUGCAAGAGGACAUUGAAGAUUGGUCUUCUGUUGAUCUUAAGAUGAUUAUUUUGUAAAAGACUUUCUAGUGUACAAGGCACAAAUGUGUCCAACUGUAAAUAGUCGCCAACGGUUUACUUUGUUUUUACUUUGUCCUUUGCUGUGUGUUUAAGACUCAGUGUGGAUUUGUGUUUAUACAGAUUUUAUUUGUAUGAUUUCUUUUGUUAAACCUCAAAUAAAUGUUUCCUUAUGUGAUUGUU